CACGUAGGGCGCGAGCGUUGUCCGGAAUUAUUGGGCGUAAAGAGCUCGUAGGCGGCCUGUUGCGUCCGCUGUGAAAGCCCGGGGCUUAACCCCGGGUCGGCAGUGGAUACGGGCAGGCUAGAGGUAGGUAGGGGAGAACGGAAUUCCCGGUGUAGCGGUGAAAUGCGCAGAUAUCGGGAGGAACACCGGUGGCGAAGGCGGCUACCUGGACCAGCACUGACACUGAGGCACGAAAGCGUGGGGAGCAAACAGG
rnacentral:rRNA from 1 species